GUUUAAUUGAAUGUGGAAAACAAACCUAAGCAUAGCUGAUUUACUAAUUUUUCUUAUCUUUAUUUGCUAUUCCAGUUCUAUCACUGUCCUAUCACAUGUAAAGCUCAGACAACACCACCCAGACCCCCAAGGCAUUUAAAAUGUAAAAUUAUGAAUGCUGUUAACAGCUCACAACAUACCAAGGGUGGAUUCUGAGGAGGAAUAAAUCAGCCUUGGAGCUACCACCACUUACCCCUAGCUGGUAAAGCUUAAUCACUAGGCUUUGUAGGAAUACGCCCUUGAUCUUUUAUCAGAGGAAUCUGAUCCCCAGUUCUCCAUACUGUGUGGUUGGUGUCCAGUCUUGCCACCUUUUCCACAUCAGUGCAAAUAAGAAAGGAAAAAAAGCCAUCACAGUAAAUGCAUUGCAGAAAUUGUACCUCAUCACUACAUGAGAAGGCAGUGAAUGAGGUUUGUAUAAUCAGCUUUGGACAACUUCAUCUUCAAAUGCAGAGGGCCAGGAGCUGGACUUCAAUGAUCCUGGUGGGUCCUUUCCAAAUAAGCUUAUUCUAUGAUUCUGUGAAGAAGCAAACCAGCCAGUUCAUCCUCCUGUGCCAUUGGUCUUCUGAGCAAUAUUCCUGCAGGGAGAAAGCAGCACCCUUUUUUGAGAGCAUGACCCAUUUUUGUGCCCUGCAUGUAAAGUUGGCACUUCGGCUUUUGCAAAGAAUGAACUGUCCGGAUGACCGAAGCACAGGUACAAAUCAUGUCUGCUGGCUGUCCAGCAUGUCCCAUGUGCAUUUACACGCCCCAAAAGCGGGAUUUCUCCUUCCCCAGAAUGCUGGCCUUGCUCUCUUUGACACGGUAAGAUCUGAUUGAGCAGUGUUAUCAAACGGUGGCAGCAAGGAGAGCUCCACUCAGGAAUAUGGUGAUGUUGUAGCAGAUAGUUAGGAGGAAUAUGUGGGUUUUUGUGAGCUGCAGAGAUAGUUACUGCUGUAACUAUCAUUCCAUGUCCUGGAAUGAGCAUCUGCACAGGCAGGUAAAGCCGGGACAGACGGCAGAGGGCACAAGUGAAUGCCUUAAGCAUCGGGGCUUGCUUCUGACAGGAACCUGAAUUUCUCUGCUAGUGUAAAUGUAUCCUUUCCCUUCAACCUUUCCCCCCUCUUUUUAGCAUGUGUUUUCUGUGCCUGUCUGCCCCUCCAUCCCUCCCCAGUCAGCACUUAGAUGAAGGCAUUUCUCAGAUUAUUUCUGAGGUUUGUUAGGGCAAGCAAACAAACCUGUUUGGUUGUGUUUGCCUGUUUGGUUGGGGGGUUUUGUUUGUUUCUUUGGAUUUUUUUUUUUUUUUGCCUUUUUUUGCCUAAUUUUUUUGCUUUUUUUUUU
ensembl:lncRNA